GUUGAAUCGCUGGUCCCCUUAUGAUCACCGAAGUUAAGCAAUGUUUAGCCUGGUCAGUACCUAGAUGGGUGACCGCUUGAGAAUACCAAGUGCUGUAUG